rnacentral:rRNA from 1 species
GACGAACGCUGGCGGCGUGCUUAACACAUGCAAGUCGAACGGGAUUUAGUAAACAGAAGCCUCGGUGGAAGAUUACUAAUGAGAGUGGCGAACGGGUGAGUAACGCGUGAGCAACCUGCCUAUGACAGUGGGAUAGCCUCGGGAAACCGGGAUUAAUACCGCAUAAAAUCGUAGAAACACAUGUUUUAACGGUCAAAGAUUUAUCGGUCAUAGAUGGGCUCGCGUCUGAUUAGCUAGUUGGUGAGAUAACAGCCCACCAAGGCGACGAUCAGUAGCCGGUCUGAGAGGAUGAACGGCCACAUUGGAACUGAGACACGGUCCAAACUCCUACGGGAGGCAGCAGUGGGUAAUAUUGCACAAUGGGGGAAACCCUGAUGCAGCGACGCCGCGUGAACGAAGAAGGUAUUCGUAUCGUAAAGUUCUGUCCUAUGGGAAGAUAAUGACAGUACCAUAGAAGAAAGCUCCGGCUAAAUACGUG